rnacentral:rRNA from 1 species
GGCGAACGGGUGAGUAACACGUGGGCAAUCUGCCCUGCACUCUGGGAUAAGCCUGGGAAACUGGGUCUAAUACUGGAUAGGACCUUUCUCCUCAUGGGGUUUGGUGGAAAGUUUUUCGGUGCAGGAUGAGCCCGCGGCCUAUCAGCUUGUUGGUGGGGUAAUGGCCUACCAAGGCGACGACGGGUAGCCGGCCUGAGAGGGUGAUCGGCCACAUUGGGACUGAGAUACGGCCCAGACUCCUACGGGAGGCAGCAGAU